rnacentral:rRNA from 1 species
AAUAGCCUACGGGAGGCAGCAGUGGGGAAUAUUGCACAAUGGGGGAAACCCUGAUGCAGCAACGCCGCGUGAGUGAAGAAGUAUUUCGGUAUGUAAAGCUCUAUCAGUAGGGAAGAAGAAAGACGGUACCUGACUAAGAAGCCCCGGCUAACUACGUGCCAGCAGCCGCGGUAAUACGUAGGUGGCAAGCGUUAUCCGGAUUUAUUGGGUUUAAAGGGUGCGCAGGCGGAAUGUCAAGUCAGCGGUAAAAUUUCGGGGCUCAACCCCGUCGUGCCGUUGAAACUGGCGUUCUUGAGUGAGCGAGA